AGGGGCAAGUGUGAUAAGAACAUUUCGACUGGAAAAUAGGAUUGAGGGUCAGGAACGACGAGGGGGAAGGCCUCCUAUGUUCACAGAACAGCAAGAGAGGGAGAUAGUAAACAUGGUUUUGGCCAACAAUGCUAUAACCCUCAAUCAGCUCCAAGCUAACAUUGUCAAUAACCACGUCGGUUUCAACAAUAUCCAUCAGGUCUCAACAUCAACACUGGCACGCAUCCUAA